GAUGAACGCUGGCGGCGUGCCUAAUACAUGCAAGUAGAACGCUGAAGGAAGGAGCUUGCUCUUUCCGGAUGAGUUGCGAACGGGUGAGUAACGCGUAGGUAACCUGCCUGGUAGCGGGGGAUAACUAUUGGAAACGAUAGCUAAUACCGCAUAACAGUAGAUGUUGCAUGACAUCUACUUGAAAGGGGCAAUUGCUCCACUACCAGAUGGACCUGCGUUGUAUUAGCUAGUUGGUGAGGUAACGGCUCACCAAGGCGACGAUACAUAGCCGACCUGAGAGGGUGAUCGGCCACACUGGGACUGAGACACGGCCCAGACUCCUACGGGAGGCAGCAGUAGGGAAUCUUCGGCAAUGGACGGAAGUCUGACCGAGCAACGCCGCGUGAGUGAAGAAGGUUUUCGGAUCGUAAAGCUCUGUUGUAAGAGAAGAACGAGUGUGAGAGUGGAAAGUUCACACUGUGACGGUAUCUACCAGAAA
rnacentral:rRNA from 1 species